CUGAAGUCUGUCAAGGUCUGCUGGCCUUGUUGUUUUUGUUCAAGAUUAGGCACUGUGCAUUGCUGACAGAUAAACUGAGAGUAUGUUGGACACAAGUGACUGCAGGCUCUUGGGAGACCCAGAAGACUUUUUGCUAAAUGUGCCUUUAAGGAAGCAAGUAAUGGAGAAAAUGAGUGGCUUUGAUAGGCAAAAGUGUGGUUCACAGGACUGGAAAUAGGUCCUGCAUAUUCCCCAAAUUAUCUGGAUUUUCUUCAGUUGCCUGUUCAGACAUAUUACAUUUCCCCAUUAACCUUGUCUUUCCUGUAUCUUUAAACAGGUUCAGGUCCAAGACUAAUCCUUCAAGGUUUAAGACAUUGAGGGAAAACACUGGAAGGUAGGCAUGUAUUCUGGACCAAAGCCAAAUAACAAUAUGCUGAAAGGAAAUAUAUGCUUUAUAUAAAGCUGAAUCGGGCUGCCUGCCUAUGAGCCGUAACAGUGGCUCAUGGGUUCACAUACAGGAUGACAACAGACCUCUGGGAAGAAGCAGUUUAAACUGAUGCAUUCACACAAUGGAGCCACUUUCCAUAUCCUCGAACUGCACCCCAGAGUCUUGGAAGGCUUUCUCCAAUUCCUUAUUUGCAGUCUUGUUUGAAGCUUUAAGAUUUGGAGCAAACUGAAUUCCCCAUCUUCUCCGGCAAUUUGCUUUAAAAGCUACUCUCUGGCUCCAUCUUCUGUUUUGUUCGUUGGUUGGUUUGUGGAUUUUAUUUAUUUGCUUAUUUAUUUAUUUAGGCAUAUCAGGGUAAGAUUCUUGAGUUUUGCAAACUAAAAUGUAGGUAAUCACGUCUUGCGCGGCAAUUGAGACAAGCAGGAGAGAACCCCGACCUGCAGGUGAAAAGGUUGGCCCAGAGAGGAGGGAGCUGAAUGAUAACGAGCUAUGCUAUCAGCCCUGUGUUUACGUAUUCCUGUCUGCAAAGUUACUUCUGUUACAAGAGGAGGAGAAAUGCUUUGGCCAGGAAGCGCAGAAAUAUGUUCUGUUUUGGCGUAAUUGUAACUUCUCUGCAAAAUGAUGAUCAUUACAUGAUCUGGCAACACAGUGACAUCUCUCAUACCUUUCAGCUUAAACUGGCAAGCACAGGGGCCACUGAGUAAGAGAAUUUAAUAAAUAGAUUAGCCUCUUUAUGGAUACUAAGAAAUACAGUCUUUUUAUAAAGUGCUCAACAAUAAUAAAAGUAAUAUUAACAAUCCAAAGAACAAGUCUUUAAUAAAGAAAACUAUUUUAUGGUGAUUAAAUUUUAGGCCCAGACUAUUCAACAUAUGCCCCUUUGAGCCAUUAAGUAAUCUGAUUCCAGUUGCUCUUACUCUGCAAGAGGGGAACUCGUGUUGAAGCAAAACUGCACUUUGACUGAUUCAGUGCUUAAACUUAAAACUGCUCUGUUACCAGUAAGCCAGAUUUUGGCUUCAGAGGCCUCUUCCUCAGUCACCCUUGCAAACCCGAAGAAUUUAUAUACACAAAAGGUAAUCACAUAAGAAAGGUAAAACCACUUGGCAACAAGUAGAGCUGCCUCUCAACAGCCAUUGAAUGUGGAAUACGUUAUUCUCUCCCUUGCUUUUCUUCCCUGCCUGUUCAUAAACAAAAUGUUUUCCAGCUUUGCAGUAUAUGGGAUUUACAAUUCCUUCAAACCUUGUACUACUGUGCACUUCUCUCCUUCUUCAGUUUUGUCUGCAAUGAUAGCCUUCAUAAGAUAGCUACUGAAAAAUAUUUUUAAUUUCAGAUGCUACAUCAUUCUUGGAAGCAUGUGGGAAACAAAUAUAGAUGAGCUCUUUAUAUAGAAAAGCAAACUUCACAGAGCACCAAAAUGUUCUGUGGAAAAUUCACUUGUCCAUCUUGCUUAAAAAUACAAAACUUGUUAUAAAAAUGCACCCUCAAAUUUAGACAUUGCUCAUUAUUUUGCUCUAGGUAUUUACAGGCCACACAAUGAAUGGUACAUCCUAUCAUGUUUCUAUUAAUAAGUCCUAUACACUCAUUCUAACAGUUUUAUAUUUCAUUAAUUUUGUUUUAUGUAGGCACUCAGAAAAUGAGGACAUAUCAGAAACAUCUUGAAUUCGCUGUAGGACAAAGUUGUGAAGAAAAAGAUUAGCUUUAAGAAAUAUACAUGUCAGUAUCACUGUGCACCACCUUAUUGAAGGGGAAUACACUCAUUUUUAGCUUCCAUGCAAGUGCUGUUGGCUUUGUAACUGACUGUGAAUAUGUGAGAACAAAAAAAGUGAUGCUGUGUCAGUGUGUGGGCUGCAAAUGAGAACUCCUAGCUCAUACAUUUUGCCCCAUAAGCAGUUCUAGCAUUGUAUGCAGUCUUAUUGCUGUUUUCUUUGUCCUCAUUGAUCCUGCUAUUACUCACAUUUUGGGCUCCUAAUUUGCAGUAAAAAUCCCUCUGUAAUUUAAUUCGCUGUUUUCUUGGUGGAACUUUCUGACCACUAAUUCUUGUAAGCUCGUUAUUCCUCUAUUUCUCUAGGCCUCAGGACUUCAGCACUUCGGUUUUGUUUUUUGUUUGUUUCUUUUUUCCUAAACCUUCCUUCCCUGUAUGAUAUUGAAGAAUCAUGGAGUAUCAUGAAUAAAUACAUUUUUGACUUGAAAACACA